CGCCUUCGGAAAAAGAUCGAAAGGUUCUGCCUGCCCGGUGACUUAAAAGGUUAAACGGCUGCAGUACCCUGACUGUGCAAAGGUAGCAUAAUCAUCUGUUCAUUAAUUGUGGACUGGCAUCAACGGCUAGACGACAAGAAAGCUGUCUCCCUACACUGAUCUUGAAUUUAACGUAGAGGUGAAGAGACCUCUAUUUGGCAGUGGGACGAGAAGACCCUAUUGAGCUUUAAUCUCUGCUAAACUGUUUUUGGUAAGAGGUUUGGGUUGGGGCAACUGUUUUUAUGUUUUAAAACAAAGGCACAAUAAGGAUAAAUUAAUUUUAAGGCGAGACCCAAAAAAGUUUGACCAUUAGAACAAGUUACCUUAGGGAUAACAGCGUUAUUUUCCCCGAAAGUCCUUAUUGACGGGAAAGUUUGCGACCUCGAUGUUGGAUCAGGGCCCCCUGGGUGUGCAGAAGCCCCCGACGGUUGGUUUGUUC
rnacentral:rRNA from 20 species